UUCUUCUUUAUUAAGAAGUAAGGCCUGCUCACUGAAUUUUAAAGAGCCGCAGUAUUCUAACUGUGCUAAGGUAGCAUAAUAAUUAGUCUUUUAAUUGGAGGCUGGUAUGAAUGGUUUAACGAGAAAUCAACUUUUUUAAAGGUAAAAAUCUAAUUUAGGAUUUAAGUGAAAACACUUAAAUAUUAUAGUAAGACGAGAAGACCCUAUAGAGUUUAAUAAAUUUUAAAUUUAGAAUUAAUAGUAGAAAAAGUAUUAGAUUAAAAAUUUAUUUUGUUGGGGCGACAUGGAAAUAUAAAAAACUUUUUAUUUAAUAAACUUAUAUUGAAGAAUAAAUUUGAUCCUUAAAAAAGAUUAAAAGAAAAAAUUACCUUAGGGAUAACAGCGUAAUUUUUCUUGAGAGUUCUAAUCGACAGAAAGGUUUGCGACCUCGAUGUUGGACUAAAAUUAGUAUAGGGCGCAGAAGUUCUAUUUUUUGGUCUGUUCGACCAAUAGUUUUUUACGUGAUCUGAGGUUUCAGACCG
rnacentral:rRNA from 1 species